CAGGUACAAACUCUGCCACAAGCUCCUGGGAGAUCUUCCUCUCCCUGCUCUCAAGUCUUUGCAGAGGCCUGAGGGCAGCCCUGGGACCUUCCUGAGAGAUUGGUCUGUCUUAGUGAAGAGAAUUCUCCAUCUUCACUGAGGAUCUGAUCCCUGAUGGAGGAGUCAGAUGACAGCCUGCAAGGAGAGCCCACAGGAGGUGAAAUCUGCUCCAGAUAAACAGAAAGAGGACAGGAC